UCUAUGAAUUACAUAAUUACCCCCUGUAAACUACUUGUCGUUUACGCCAUCAACGCCAAGCAUUUUGAGCUUGUGACCAACCAUUAGUAACAAACGGUUGUUCCCUUUAUAAGAUACCGGUCGUCUUCUCCAUUCCAGAAGGAAGAACGCGCAACAGAAGCCAGAGAGAAAAAGAACUUCAGAGCAAGCUGUAAAGUGUGGAAUUUCUAAUUAUUAGAAUGUGAAUCGAGAUAAUGUACAAGUAUAGCAUUGAAGAAUUUUAUUCUCUCUUUCUAUGAUUAUUAUUUGAAGUAUUCUGGUUCAAAAAUUUCUGCUUUAUGGUCACCAAUUGUAAAAUUCUGGAGGAGGAGAGAGUGCAAUUGGAAGUAUUCGGAAGGUUUUUCGCUUUUACUUCUUAUUCAACAUGAAAUGACAGGAUUUCCCUUGAACAUAGAUUAUGGCAGGCAACCUGUUCGAAAAUAUGCUCGAACCGGAUUCCACCAAGAGGAACACCAUAAGCAAUAGCUGGUUCUAUGGAGAUUUUUGGCAUACACAUCAUUACCACGUUCUUGCAUCCAUUCUCAAAUCCUGUGCUGCCCACUCAGCCAUAAAAUUGGGCAAGGCUCUACACAGCACCGUUCUGAAACUAGGCCAUCUUUCCUGCCAUCAGGUGUCAAAAUCACUGCUUAACAUGUAUGCCAAAUGUGGAGCUCUUAGGGAUUGCAAGAAACUAUUUGGUGAAGUGGUUAACUGUGAUCAUGAUCCUGUCUUUUGGAAUAUUCUCUUAUCUGGGUUUUCUGGGUCUCGCAAUAAUGAUGCUGAGACCUUAAGUUUAUUUAAUAGAAUGCAUUUUGCCAGUAAAGUGAAGCCUAGUUCUGUUACUGCUGCUAUCAUUCUUCCUGUUUGUGCUCGCAUGGGAGAUAUAUAUGCGGGUAAGAGUGUUCACUGCUAUAUGAUUAAAUCUGGGAUGGAGAUGCAUACACUUGUUGGAAAUGCUCUGGUCUCAAUGUAUGCUAAAUGUGGGCUCGUUCAAAAUGAUGCAUAUGCUGCUUUUGAUAGCAUUAAUGAGAAAGAUGUAGUUUCAUGGAAUGCCAUGAUUGCAGGGUUUUCUGAGAAUAAGUUAAUGGAUAAAGCGUUCAGAUUAUUUAUUUUGAUGCUGAAAAGUCGAAUACAACCAAAUCAUGCAACUAUUGCUAAUAUUCUGCCUGUCUGUGCAUCUUUGGAUAGGAAUGCUGCCUACCUCUUUGGGAAAGAGAUCCACAGUUAUACCCUGCGGCACAAUGAGUUGUUAGCAGAUGUUUCUGUCUGUAAUGCUUUGAUGAGCUUCUACUUGGUAGUUGGACGGGUAAAGGAAGCAGAAUUAUUGUUUCGACGGAUGGAAUUGAGAGAUUUGAUUUCAUGGAAUGCAAUAAUUUCAGGAUAUGCAUCGAAUGGUGAGUGGUCAAAAGCUUUGGAAUUAUUUCAGGAGUUACUUUCUUUAGACAUGAGUGAACCAGAUUCUGUCACCCUUGUCAGUAUUCUUCCUGCCUGUGCACAACUUAAAAACUUGAAGAUUGGUAGGGAGAUCCAUAGUUAUAUUCUUCGACAUCCUUACUUAUGGCAGGAUACAUCUGUUGGAAAUGCUUUGCUUAGUUUUUAUGCAAAAUGUGACAAAAAAGAAGCAGCAUAUAAUACAUUUUUUAUGAUUUCUAAUAAAGAUUUGAUAUCAUGGAAUUCUAUGCUUGAUGCCUUUGCGGAGGGUGGACACAUUACUCAGUUUCUGAAAUUGCUACAGUGGAUGCUUAGGGAAGGAAUUAGACCUGACUCCAUUACCAUAUUAACCAUACUUCAUUUUUGUGCAUUUUUGUUAAAAUUGGACAAGGUUAAAGAGACUCAUUGCUACGCGCUUAGGCAUGGUCUCUUACUAUCUGAUAUUGAACCCAUAACUAGAAAUGCAAUACUUGACACUUAUGCCAAAUGUGGUAAUAUUGAGUAUUCAUUUAAGAUUUUCCAUGGUUUAUCAGAAGUGGGGAAUUUGGUUACUUUCAAUUCAAUGAUCUCUGGUUAUGUGAAUUGUGGAUUAUAUGAUGAUGCACGUAUGAUUUUCAACAGGAUGCCUGCCACUGAUCUCACUACUUGGAAUCUAAUGAUUCGAGGGUACGCUGAAAAUGAUUGUCCUGAUCAGUCAAUUGAUCUGUUCUGUCAGCUACAAGCUAGAGGACUGAAGCCUGAUGCAGUUACCAUUAUGAGUCUUCUUCCAGCUUGUUCUCAAAUUGCUUCUGUACAUUUUAUGAAACAGUGUCAUGGGUAUGUCACUAGAGCUUGUUUUAGUGAUGCCCACUUGGAAGGAGCUCUUUUAGAUGUAUAUGCAAAAUGUGGCAAUAUAGAUUAUGCUAUUAAGCUUUUCCGAUCAAACAGAGGGAGAGAUAUAGUUACAUUCACUGCUAUGGUUGGUGGUUGCGCCAUGCAUGGUAUGGCAGAGGAAGCACUCAGGAUUUUCUCUCACAUGCUUGAGUUGGGAGUAAAGCCAGAUCACAUUAUCAUUACUUCUGUUUUAUCUGCUUGCCGUCAUGCUGGUCUGGUGGAUGAAGGGUUGAAGAUAUUCUAUUCAAUAGAGAAGGUUCAUGGAAUGAGACCAACAAUGGAACAAUACUCUUGUGUGGUGGAUCUCCUUGCUCGGGCAGGUCGAAUUGAUGAUGCAUAUUCUUUAGUGACUGGGAUGCCCAUUGAAGCUAAUGCAAAUGUAUGGGGCACAUUGCUGGGUGCCUGCAGGGUCUAUCAUGAGGUAGAAAUAGGACAUGCUGUGGCUGAGCAUCUAUUUAAAAUUGAAGCAAACAAUAUUGGAAACUAUGUAGUUUUGUCAAAUCUCUUUGCAGCAGAUGCUAGAUGGGAUGUGGUAAUGGAAAUAAGGAAAUUAAUGAGAAUGAGAGGCUUAAAAAAGCCAGCUGGAUGUAGUUGGAUUGAAUUGGAGAGGAGAAAGAAUGUAUUUGUUGCCGGAGACUCGUCUCACCCUCAAAGGACCAAUAUUUACAGCGUAUUAAGCAUUUUGGAUUUACAAAGUAAAGAGCCAUUUGUAUUAAAGCAACAAGUUGGUUCACAUCUUCUGGAGUGUUGCACGUGAAGGAAAGGGGAGUUGCUUAUAAAACUUGAAAAGGAGAAUUCAACUGCUUUGAUACGCACACAGACCAAUUAACUUGGGGAAAAGAUGAAGCUCAAAUUAGCAGAGGUGCAAUGUCUAAAUCAAGGUUUCUCAAUUGUGGUGGGGGAUCUCAAAGGAAACAAUGUAAGCAGCACAGGUUCUGCAUAUCCUGGUCUAGAUCUAGGUGAUGGAUGCAAGUAAAAACGCCUCUCUUUGAUGGCUUUCUCUUCUUCCUCACUAUUUAAUUCAGAAAUUUUGUCCUCCAGUUCCUGUAUCGACAAUUUUGAGAAAAUUGUGGAAGGGGUGCCAACAGGACUUGGUAGAAGAGAAGGAUUCCGUGAUGUAGUUGGUGAUGUCAAAGGUUUGAAGUUAACCGGGGGUUUAAUUAUUUCAAGCUUGGGUCUUAGAUGCUGCCUUCUUUCAUGGAGUUUAGAUGUUGGUCUCCUUAUGCCUGCAACCUUUGUAGCUGCUGUUCCCUGCACUGCAUCACUCUCUGAUGGGCCAGUUAACCGCUGCACAAUCUCUCGAAAAGCAUUUGUAUCUGUUUGCACAAAAGUAGUUACAGGUUUACAACCAGCUGGAGCUUGGCUUGCUGGCUUCUCCAUGGACGUGUAUCUCUUGAACAAUCUAAUUUGUGUAAAUGAUCUGCAACAAGUUCCAGUGUAUGAAAUGGGACUGUUGUCUAUCAUGAUUCAUGAAUUUGCCUCAUCGGACAUUGAUCUAGAUGGGUCCCUACAGAGCUCUGUGCGGGUUUCACUGGAUUAAACGGUUGAAAUGGUGCAGGUUGAACAGGAACAAUUGCACCAAGCAAUUCUCUUCUCUCAGGAACUCUAAAAAUUUCAGUAAGACAUCUGCCAAUGCAACUUCAAAUGCAAUGCCAUGAAAUUUAACAAUCAGCAACAUGAAAUUAAAAUGACUUCAGAAGGUGAACAAGAAGAAGAGAAAAUUCUACAAGAGAAGUUCAUACCUGAUUCUGCACCUCCAAGAGAAAUGAAGAUAUUGGAAAUUUCAGCAGGGAAAUUGAAAGAGAAUAAAAUGGGAGAAGAAAAGAAGUGCCACAAAGGAGCUAAACACAAAAGACAAGGAUAUGUAUUUAGCUCCUUUUGUAUAUCUCAAAAAAAAAGGGUUUUUUGUAGAUGUAUAUAUGCAAUUGAAAGCAUACGAAUUAUGAUAAGAAAGUUGCUAAAAAUAGGCGUUUUUGUCAGUAACAUUUCAAUAUCUAAAUAUACCAAAUGAUUGUUAAGAAGAGGAACAAUACAAUUGAACAAGUAUUUCCUGCUUUGGCAGAUGGAUAAAUAUAACUGCAGUGACUGACAACUUAUUAGUUAUGUAA